CUCGUAGGCGGUUUGAUAAGUCGGGUGUGAAAUCUCCAGGCUCAACCUGGAGAGGUCACUCAAGACUGUUAUGACUAGAGUCCGGUAGGGGACCACGGAAUUCCUGGUGUAGCGGUGAAAUGCGCAGAUAUCAGGAAGAACACCUAUGGCGAAGGCAGCUCUCUGGGACGGUACUGACGCUGAGACGCGAAAGCGUGGGAGCGAACA
rnacentral:rRNA from 1 species